UAAUAGUGUAUAUUAAAGUUGUUGCAGUUAAAAAGCUCGUAGUUGAAUGUUGGUGUCGAACGAGCGGUCAGCUUCGGCUGUACUGCUCUCUCGACUCCUUCCUUCUGUGGACUACGUCGCACUUUACUGUGUGGCGCUAGGACGCAGAUCGUUUACUGUGAAAAAAUUAGAGUGUUCAAAGCAGGCCGUACGCUUGAAUACAUUAGCAUGGAAUAAUGGAAUAGGACGUCGGGCCUAUUUUGUUGGUUCUAGGACCGUCGUAAUGAUUAAUAGGGACAGUUGGGGCCGUUUAUAUUCCGUAGUCAGAGGUGGAAUUCUUGGAUUUACGGAAGAUAAACUACUGCGAAAGCAUUCGGCAAGGAUGUUUUCGUUAA
rnacentral:rRNA from 1 species